rnacentral:rRNA from 1 species
GACGAACGCUGGCGGCGUGCUUACCACAUGCAAGUCGAGCGGUAAGGCCCUUUCGGGGGUACACGAGCGGCGAACGGGUGAGUAACACGUGGGUGACUGCCCUCAGCUCUGGGAUAAGCCUGGGAAACGUGGGUCUAAUACCGGAUAUGACUCCAUGACGCAUGUUGUGGGGUGGAAAGCCUUGUGCGGCUGAGGAUGGGCCCGCGGCCUAUCAGCUUGUUGGUGGGGNGAUGGCCUACCAAGGCGACGACGGGUAGCCGGCCUGAGAGGGCGACCGGCCACACUGGGACUGAGACACGGCCCAGACUCCUACGGGAGGCAGCAGUGGGGAAUUGUUCACAAUGGGCGCAAGCCUGAUGACGCAACGCCGCGUGGGGA